rnacentral:rRNA from 1 species
UACAGAGGCCCCAAGCGUUAGGCGGAAUCACUGGGCUUAAAGCGUGUGUAGGCAGACUUCUAAGUACCUUGUGAAAUCCCACGGCUUAACCGUGGAACUGCUUGGUAUACUGGUCGUCUUGAGCCACUUAGGGGUUACCGGAACAAAUGGUGGAGCGGUGAAAUGCGUAGAUAUCAUUUGGAACGCCAAUGGUGAAAACAGGUAACUGGGAGUGUGCUGACGCUGAGACACGAAAGCCAGGGGAGCGAAACGGGAUUAGAACCUACCGAGUCA